GCCAUGGUGGCGCAACGGUUGAGCGCUUGGCUGCUAACUGAAAGGCUGGUAGUUUGAACCCACCCAAUGGCU
rnacentral:tRNA from 1 species